AAGUAGCUCUGCUUCGGGAGAGUGUUAUAGACCCUGGGGGAUGCAGCCUGUGGGAUCGAGGAUUGCAGCAAAUGCUUUUUGGCUUGUCGCCUAUCUCUGGUCGUUACCUCUCUUGUGACAACAUUCUUGCCACCGGAGGGUACUAAUGCCCAUUACUUAGAGCGAUCGAAAAUUUGCUAAGGAUGCUGACGUAAUGGCUUUAAACGACCCGUCUUGAAACACGGCUGUCUCUUAUACACAUCUCCGAGCCCAC
rnacentral:rRNA from 1 species